GAUGAACGCUGGCGGCGUGCCUAAUACAUGCAAGUCGAGCGAACAGGCGAGGAGCUUGCUCCUCUGACGUUAGCGGCGGACGAGUGAGUAACACGUGGAUAACCUACCUAUAAGACUGGGAUAACUUCGGGAAACCGGAGCUAAUACCGGAUAAUAUAUUGAACCGCAUGGUUCAAUAGUGAAAGACGGUUUUGCUGUCACUUAUAGAUGGAUCCGCGCCGCAUUAGCUAGUUGGUAAGGUAACGGCUUACCAAGGCAACGAUGCGUAGCCGACCUGAGAGGGUGAUCGGCCACACUGGAACUGAGACACGGUCCAGACUCCUACGGGAGGCAGCAGUAGGGAAUCUUCCGCAAUGGGCGAAAGCUUGACGGAGCAACGCCGCGUGAGUGAUGAAGGUCUUCGGAUCGUAAAACUCUGUUAUUAGGGAAGAACAAAUGUGUAAGUAACUAUGCACGUCUUGACGGUACCUAAUCAGAAAGCCACGGCUAACUACGUG
rnacentral:rRNA from 1 species